AGAGUUUGAUCAUGGCUCAGGACGAACGCUGGCGGCGUGCUUAACACAUGCAAGUCGAACGGAAAGGCCCCUUCGGGGGUACUCGAGUGGCGAACGGGUGAGUAACACGUGGGUGAUCUGCCCUGCACUUUGGGAUAAGCCUGGGAAACUGGGUCUAAUACCGAAUAGGACCGCAUGCUUCAUGGUGUGUGGUGGAAAGCUUUUGCGAUGUGGGAUGGGCCCGCGGCCUAUCAGCUUGUUGGUGGGGUAAUGGCCUACCAAGGCGACGACGGGUAGCCGGCCUGAGAGGGUGUCCGGCCACACUGGGACUGAGAUACGGCCCAGACUCCUACGGGAGGCAGCAGUGGGGAAUAUUGCACAAUGGGCGCAAGCCUGAUGCAGCGACGCCGCGUGGGGGAUGACGGCCUUCGGGUUGUAAACCUCUUUCAGUAUCGGCGAAGCUCCAGGAUUUUUCUUGGGGUGACGGUAGGUACAGAAGAAGCACCGGCCAACUACGUGCCAGCAGCCGCGGUAAUACGUAGGGUGCGAGCGUUGUCCGGAAUUACUGGGCGUAAAGAGCUCGUAGGUGGUUUGUCACGUUGUCUGUGAAAACUCACAGCUUAACUGUGGGCGUGCGGGCGAUACGGGCAGACUGGAGUACUGUAGGGGAGACUGGAAUUCCUGGUGUAGCGGUGGAAUGCGCAGAUAUCAGGAGGAACACCGGUGGCGAAGGCGGGUCUCCGGGCAGUAACUGACGCUGAGGAGCGAAAGCGUGGGGAGCGAACAGGAUUAGAUACCCUGGUAGUCCAA
rnacentral:rRNA from 1 species